AGCUUUUUGAAUCCUUGCUGAGAUUUCGUCAGGCAAAAAUCCAUUAGGACUGAUCAAACUUCCAAGAUAAGGGAAAUU
rnacentral:pre_miRNA from 1 species